ACACAAUGGUAGCCUAAUGAUAGAAACUUCAACAUAAUACAGACUCUUUCAAAUGUCAAACAUAAAUGAACAUUAAACAUUAAUAGGUGUUUCUCUUUGCUCAAAAUAACACAUAAAGUGGCACUUAAUUUCAAUAUUUACUUUCCAUAUGCAGCCAUAUGCAAAGCAUGCUGGGAACUAACAAUCACUGCUAAAAAUAAAACUGCAAAAUUGAGCUAAUUCUCUUAAAAUAAACAGGUAGCCUUCUUUGCUUUUUUCAGUUUAAUUAUUUCUUUCAGUUUUGCCUCAAAACUGCUUAAGUUUCCUAAACAAAUAAGGAAAACAUAUCUCUUGUUUUUUUUUUUUUUUUUGUGAAGUUCUUAAUAUUUUCUAUACAACACUGAAGCUCAAUUUAUUUACAUUAUUUUUAUCUAUACUGUAUAAGAUAUAUACACUAUUUUUAAUUAUCACCUUAAUUAUUUUUAAUGAAAAUUACAAGACCCAUGAUUAUUUUUAAAUGUUUUUUUUUUUUUUUACAGUGAGAGCAUUAUUAGUGUCAUUAGUAUUUACUAGGCUGUUUAAACAUUAGAUUUUUUUUUCAGUUUAAUUGUUUACAUAAUGUUUUAUACUAGCGUUAUCUUAGAAAAUAAUAUUUUUAUUAAAAAAAAAAACAAAUAGUGAAAUUUUGUUUUCGCGCUUAACGCGGUGCGUGUCUCGCGCGGCUGAGAGAAGAAUCGGCGGGAAGCUCGUGACAUGAAAGCAGCGUCGGGUUUACCUCACAGAGUUUUAUAAAGUAAUAUUUCUGAUUUAUAAAAUUAAAAAGUACCGAAUAACCAACAACCUAAACACCAUGAGGACAUCUGCCAGUCGAACUUGUUAACAUAAAGUGGUGAGGUGAUUCAGCGUUCAUCUGAGGGGAACUCACAACUCUUAAUAUUCAUGGAUAUUCCCUGAAAAACUGCAUAUUUUCCCGUACCAGCUCUGUACAGCAGAAAUUAUUACAGUGUGUGAGUGACGUUUCCACCCUGUUACAGAUAUCUGACACAGAUGGACACAUGGUUAUAUCCGAGUGAACUCACAGCAGGCAGCAGUAGUGUUUGCGACGUCUUCCAUCUGCUGCUGUCACUCUGGACUUUUAGUGUAUGACAGCAUGCUGACAAACACACUUAACGUCUCUGAAUCAUCCUGGAAGACGUUUACUGGAGUGAGUGGCUCUCAAACAUUUCAUUCUGACACCUGAAGCCAUCAGGUUUGACCAUCAGAGCAUCAGUCCUGCU